UACGAAGGGGGCUAGCGUUGCUCGGAAUCACUGGGCGUAAAGCGCGCGUAGGCGGAUCGUUAAGUCGGGGGUGAAAUCCUGGAGCUCAACUCCAGAACUGCCUUUGAUACUGAGGAUCUUGAGUUCGGGAGAGGUGAGUGGAACUGCGAGUGUAGAGGUGAAAUUCGUAGAUAUUCGCAAGAACACCAGUGGCGAAGGCGGCUCACUGGCCCGAUACUGACGCUGAGGCACGAAAGCGUGGGGAGCAAACAGG
rnacentral:rRNA from 1 species